rnacentral:rRNA from 1 species
UACGGGGGGGGCAAGCGUUGUUCGGAAUUACUGGGCGUAAAGGGCUCGUAGGCGGCCAACUAAGUCGGACGUGAAAUCCCCAGGCUCAACCUGGGAACUGCGUCUGAUACUGGAUGGCUUGAAUCCGGGAGAGGGAUGCAGAAUUCCAGGUGUAGCGGUGAAAUGCGUAGAUAUCUGAAGGAACAUCAGUGGCGAAAGCGACUUCCUGGACCAAUACUGACGCUCAUGUGCGAAAGCGUGGGGAGCAAACAGG